rnacentral:rRNA from 1 species
UUCGAAGCAACGCGAAGAACCUUACCAGGCCUUGACAUGCAGAGAACUUUCCUAGAGAUGGAUUGGUGCCUUCGGGAACGUCUGACACAGGUGCUGCAUGGCUGUCGUCAGCUCGUGUCGUGAGAUGUUGGGUUAAGUCCCGUAACGAGCGCAACCCUUGUCCUUAGUUACCAGCACGUUAUGGUGGGCACUCUAAGGAGACUGCCGGUGACAAACCGGAGGAAGGUGGGGAGUGACGUCAAGUCAUCAUGGCCCUUACGGCCUGGGCUACACACGUGCUACAAUGGUCGGUACAAAGGGUUGCCAAGCCGCGAGGUGGAGCUAAUCCCAUAAAACCGAUCGUAGUCCGGAUCGCAGUCUGCAACUCGACUGCGUGAAGUCGGAAUCGCUAGUAAUCGUGAAUCAGAAUGUCACGGUGAAUACGUUCCCGGGCCUU